UGUACCAACCAGGUUCACAUAUUUUUCUUUCGUGGAGCUCUAAAGCUUCUGCCUGCCUUAUUUACACCCCACACCCUUUCUGUCAAUGCUGCCCCACCCCUCCCAACAAGUGAGAGAAUCCAAGGGGAUUGCAUUUUUUUUUCCCCCCUUAAUGACAGCUGAUGGGAGAGAGGGGUCUACUUACAGGUGACAAACAUUGUCUAGCACUGCUGCAACGAAGCACCACAAACUGGAUUGUAUGAACAGCAGAAGUUUAUUAUCUCACAGUUCUGGAGGCUGGAAGUGUAAAAUUCAGAACACUAGUCAUAUUGGAUUAGAGCUCACCCUGAUGACUUCAUUUUAAAUUGAUCACCUCUGAAAAGAUGCUGUCUCCAAAUGAAGUCACAUUCUGAGAAGAGGAGAUGAUCCUAAGACAUAUAUCCAGGCUCAUUACAUAAGACAGGAGAGAACAGAAAACCCCUCCAGCUAACAAACUCCACUGAUCCUGCUGCAAAAGAGAGAUAAAAGUGAAAAGAAAGCAAAUCUUUGAAAGAUGGCAAUGGAAAACUAAGGCGGAACAAACAGUUGUGGUUUCCUUUGUUGGUCUGCGCGGAGCAAAGAUUUGAAAGACCUUAUGGACAUUACCCCUUACAGAGAAGCAGCUGAAAUGUUGCCUUCUUUAUAUCCUUGAGUUAGCAACACAGAAAGCUACAGAAACUGAGCACUACAUCAUCACCAGAAAUGGGGCUUGAUCUCACAAAGCCACAUUGUGACUGUCUAAAUGACAUACUUGCAAAAGUUUAACAUUUGAACAAAUUAACUUGGUUUUUAAAAGUCCAGUAUAAGGGUUUUUCAAAUAUUAUUCACCCUCCAAAAACAACAUAUUCAUAAACAAAACUCCUCUGUAGUAAAUGUAAAAAAUGGCUGUGACUACUCAUCAUUGCUAUAAGCACUUCCUUUUAAACGUGACUACAGCUGCUGCCAUCAAGACUGUUUCUCCAGGGGCCUCCCUUGUGGUGCAAGGAAUUAAGUCUCAGCACUAUAAAGCUAUCAGCAGCCACUGGAGCAUGAGUUUGAUCCCAGGCCAGGAAGGUGACCCACAUGGCACAGCAGACCUCUCCUAUCUGGCCUCUGCUCCCCUCAGCAGUGUAUUUCAGUCAGUCUGCCUGUUCUGCUCCCCACUCUGUCUCUAGUAAAUCCUUUCACCACCACCACCACCACCACCACCCACCCCCACACCUCUGGC